rnacentral:rRNA from 1 species
GAUGAACGCUGGCGGCGUGCCUAAUACAUGCAAGUCGAGCGAACAGAUGAGGAGCUUGCUCCUCUGACGUUAGCGGCGGACGGGUGAGUAACACGUGGAUAACCUACCUAUAAGACUGGGAUAACUUCGGGAAACCGGAGCUAAUACCGGAUAAUAUAUUGAACCGCAUGGUUCAAUAGUGAAAGACGGUUUUGCUGUCACUUAUAGAUGGAUCCGCGCCGCAUUAGCUAGUUGGUAAGGUAACGGAUUACCAAGGCACCGAUGCAUAGCCGACCUGAGAGGUUGAUCCGCCACACUGGGACGGCGACACGGCCCCGACUCCGACGGGAGGCAGCAGUGGGGAAUAUUGGAAAAUGGGCGAAGGCCUGAUCCAGCAUGGCCGCGUGAGUGAUGAAGGCCUUAGGGUUGUAAAGCGCUUUUACCCGGGAUGCUAAUGACAGUACCGGGAGAAUAAGCUCCGGCUAACUCCGU